CACGUAGGGUGCGAGCGUUGUCCGGAUUUACUGGGCGUAAAGGGCGUGUAGGCGGUGCGUUUUGUCCGUGGUGAAAGCCCCCGGCUCAACCGGGGAGGGUCCGCGGAGACGGGCGCACUGGAGGUCGCGAGAGGUGGGUGGAAUUCCCGGUGUAGUGGUGAAAUGCGUAGAGAUCGGGAGGAACACCGGUGGCGAAGGCGGCCCACUGGCGCGAUGCUGACGCUGAGGCGCGAAGGCGCGGGGAGCGAACGGG
rnacentral:rRNA from 1 species